rnacentral:rRNA from 1 species
AUUGAACGCUGGCGGCAUGCCUUACACAUGCAAGUCGAACGGUAACAGGUCUUCGGAUGCUGACGAGUGGCGAACGGGUGAGUAAUGCAUCGGAACGUUCCCAGUAGUGGGGGAUAGCCCGGCGAAAGCCGGAUUAAUACCGCAUACGACCUGAGGGUGAAAGGGGGGGAUCGCAAGACCUCUCGCUAUUGGAGCGGCCGAUGUCAGAUUAGCUAGUUGGUGGGGUAAAGGCCUACCAAGGCAACGAUCUGUAGUUGGUCUGAGAGGACGACCAGCCACACUGGGACUGAGACACGGCCCAGACUCCUACGGGAGGCAGCAGUGGGGAAUUUUGGACAAUGGGCGCAAGCCUGAUCCAGCAAUGUCGCGUGCAGGAAGAAGGCCUUCGGGUUGUAAACUGCUUUUGUCAGGGAAGAAAUCUUCUGGGUUAAUACCUCGGGAGGAUGACGGUACCUGAAGAAUAAGCACCGGCUAACUACGUGCCAGCCGCCGCCGUAACAC